UACGUAGGGUGCGAGCGUUGUCCGGAAUUAUUGGGCGUAAAGAGCUCGUAGGCGGCCUGUCGCGUCGGUUGUGAAAGCCCGGGGCUUAACCCCGGGUCUGCAGUCGAUACGGGCAGGCUAGAGUUCGGUAGGGGAGAUCGGAAUUCCUGGUGUAGCGGUGAAAUGCGCAGAUAUCAGGAGGAACUCCGGUGGCGAAGGCGGCGUGCUGGACCCGAUCUGACGCUGAGGCGCGAAAGCCAGGGGAGCAAACGGG
rnacentral:rRNA from 1 species